GUGCAUUGUAGUUGCAUUGCAUGUCACUGCAGACCCUGUGCAAUGUUUCUUCAGUGCAUUA
rnacentral:pre_miRNA from 1 species